rnacentral:rRNA from 1 species
AUUGAACGCUGGCGGCAUGCUUUACACAUGCAAGUCGAACGGUAACAGGCCGCAAGGUGCUGACGAGUGGCGAACGGGUGAGUAAUGCAUCGGAACGUGCCCAGUCGUGGGGGAUAACGCAGCGAAAGCUGCGCUAAUACCGCAUACGAUCUAUGGAUGAAAGCGGGGGACCGAAAGGCCUCGCGCGAUUGGAGCGGCCGAUGUCAGAUUAGGUAGUUGGUGGGGUAAAGGCAUACCAAGCCAACUAUCUGUAGCUGGUCUGAGAGGACGACCAGCCAUACUGGGACUGGGAGACGGCCCAGACUCCUACGGGAGGCAGGAGUGGGGAAUUUUGGACAAUGGGCGCAAGCCUGGUCCAGCAAUGCCGCGUGCAGGAAGGAGGCCUUCGGGUUGUAAACUGCUUUUGUACGGAACGAAACGGUCCGGGUUAAUACCCUGGGCUAAUGACGGUACCGUAAGAAUAAGCACCGGCUAACUACGUGCCAGCAGCCGCAGUAACAC